rnacentral:rRNA from 1 species
AUGUUAUUAAUUUGAUAAAGUGCUGAUAGAUUUAUAUGAUUACAUGCGUUAAUUUUUCGGAAUUAUAUAAUGGCAUAAUUAUCAUUGAUUUUUGUGUUUAUUAUAUGCACUUGUAUGAUUAACAAUGCGAAAGAUUCAGGAUACCUUCGGACCCGUCUUGAAACACGGACCAAGGAGUCUAACAUAUGUGCAAGUUAUUGGGAUAUAAACCUAAUAGCGUAAUUAACUUGACUAAUAAUGGAUUAGUUUUUUAGCUAUUUAUAGCUAAUUAACACAAUCCCGGGGCGUUCUAUAUAGUUAUGUAUAAUGUAUAUUUAUAUUAUUUAUGCCUCUAACUGGAACGUACCUUGAGCAUAUAUGCUGUGACCCGAAAGAUGGUGAACUAUACUUGAUCAGGUUGAAGUCAGGGGAAACCCUGAUGGAAGACCGAAACAGUUCUGACGUGCAAAUCGAUUGUCAGAAUUGAGUAUAGGGGCGAAAGACCAAUCGAACCAUCUAGUAGCUGGUUCCUUCCGAAGUUUCCCUCAGGAUAGCUGGUGCAUUUUAAUAUUAUAUAAAAUAAUCUUAUCUGGUAAAGCGAAUGAUUAGAGGCCUUAGGGUCGAAACGAUCUUAACCUAUUCUCAAACUUUAAAUGGGUAAGAACCUUAACUUUCUUGAUAUGAAGUUCAAGGUUAUGAUAUAAUGUGCCCAGUGGGCCACUUUUGGUAAGCAGAACUGGCGCUGUGGGAUGAACCAAACGUAAUGUUACGGUGCCCAAAUUAACAACUCAUGCAGAUACCAUGAAAGCGUUGGUUGCUUAAAACAGCAGGACGGUGAUCAUGGAAGUCGAAAUCCGCUAAGGAGUGUGUAACAACUCACCUGCCGAAGCAACUAGCCCUUAAAAUGGAUGGCGCUUAAGUUUAUACCUAUACAUUACCGCUAAAGUAGAUGAUUUAUAUUACUUGUGAUAUAAAUUUUGAAACUUUAGUGAGUAGGAAGGUACAAUGGUAUGCGUAGAAGUGUUUGGCGUAAGCCUGCAUGGAGCUGCCAUUGGUACAGAUCUUGGUGGUAGUAGCAAAUAAUCGAAUGAGACCUUGGAGGACUGAAGUGGAGAAGGGUUUCGUGUGAACAGUGGUUGAUCACGAGUUAGUCGGUCCUAAGUUCAAGGCGAAAGCCGAAAAUUUUCAAGUAAAACAAAAAUGCCUAACAUAUAAACAAAGCGAAUUAUAAUACACUUGAAUAAUUUUGAACGAAAGGGAAUACGGUUCCAAUUCCGUAACCUGUUGAGUAUCCGUUUGUUAUUAAAUAUGGGCCUCGUGCUCAUCCUGGCAACAGGAACGACCAUAAAGAAGCCGUCGAGAGAUAUCGGAAGAGUUUUCUUUUCUGUUUUAUAGCCGUACUACAUGGAAGUCUUUCGCAGAGAGAUAUGGUAGAUGGGCUAGAAGAGCAUGACAUAUACUGUUGUGUCGAUAUUUCUCCUCGGACCUUGAAAAUUUAUGGUGGGGACACGCAAACUUCUCAACAGGCCGUACCAAUAUCCGCAGCUGGUCUCCAAGGUGAAGAGUCUCUAGUCGAUAGAAUAAUGUAGGUAAGGGAAGUCGGCAAAUUAGAUCCGUAACUUCGGGAUAAGGAUUGGCUCUGAAGAUUGAGAUAGUCGGGCUUGAUUGGGAAACAAUAACAUGGUUUAUGUGCUCGUUCUGGGUAAAUAGAGUUUCUAGCAUUUAUGUUAGUUACUUGUUCCCCGGAUAGUUUAGUUACGUAGCCAAUUGUGGAACUUUCUUGCUAAAAUUUUUAAGAAUACUAUUUGGUUAAACCAAUUAGUUCUUAUUAAUUAUAACGAUUAUCAAUUAACAAUCAAUUCAGAACUGGCACGGACUUGGGGAAUCCGACUGUCUAAUUAAAACAAAGCAUUGUGAUGGCCUAGCGGGUGUUGACACAAUGUGAUUUCUGCCCAGUGCUCUGAAUGUCAAAGUGAAGAAAUUCAAGUAAGCGCGGGUCAACGGCGGGAGUAACUAUGACUCUCUUAAGGUAGCCAAAUGCUCGUCAUCUAAUUAGGACGCGCAUGAAUGGAUUAACGAGAUUCCUACUGUCCCUAUCUACUAUCUAGCGAAACCACAGCCAAGGAACGGGCUUGGAAUAAUUAGCGGGGAAAGAAGACCCUUUUGAGCUUGACUCUAAUCUGGCAGUGUAAGGAGACAUAAGAGGUGUAGAAUAAGUGGGAGAUAUUAGACCUCGGUUUGGUAUCGUCAAUGAAAUACACUACUCUUAUUGUUUCCUUACUUACUUGAUUAAAUGGAACGUGUAUCAUUUCCUAGCCAUUAUACGGAUAUAUUUAUUAUAUCUUAUGGUAUUGGGUUUUGAUGCAAGCUUCUUGAUCAAAGUAUCACGAGUUUGUUAUAUAAUCGCAAACAAAUUCUUUAAUAAAACGAUGCAUUUAUGUAUUUUUGAUUUGAAAAUUUGGUAUAACUCCAAUUACUCAGGUAUGAUCCAAUUCAAGGACAUUGCCAGGUAGGGAGUUUGACUGGGGCGGUACAUCUCUCAAUAAUAACGGAGGUGUCCCAAGGCCAGCUCAGUGCGGACAGAAACCACACAUAGAGCAAAAGGGCAAAUGCUGACUUGAUCUCGGUGUUCAGUACACACAGGGACAGCAAAAGCUCGGCCUAUCGAUCCUUUUGGUUUAAAGAGUUUUUAACAAGAGGUGUCAGAAAAGUUACCAUAGGGAUAACUGGCUUGUGGCGGCCAAGCGUUCAUAGCGACGUCGCUUUUUGAUCCUUCGAUGUCGGCUCUUCCUAUCAUUGUGAAGCAAAAUUCACCAAGCGUUGGAUUGUUCACCCAUGCAAGGGAACGUGAGCUGGGUUUAGACCGUCGUGAGACAGGUUAGUUUUACCCUACUAAUGACAAAACGUUGUUGCGACAGCAUUCCUGCGUAGUACGAGAGGAACCGCAGGUACGGACCAAUGGCACAAUACUUGUUCGAGCGAACAGUGGUAUGACGCUACGUCCGUUGGAUUAUGCCUGAACGCCUCUAAGGUCGUAUCCGUGCUGGACUGCAAUGAUAAAUAAGGGCAAUUUGCAUUGU